rnacentral:lncRNA from 1 species
CACGGGAGUUUCAGUGGUUUCUGGAGUCUGAGGAACGGGGAGAAGCCCUGAGCUAAGCAGGAGUUAAGCACAGUCAUGCAGAGGCCUGGUUGCUACGAUUGAAGGUCGCUUAGUGAAUAUCGAUAGUUUCUAUAGGUAUUUUUAUAUCUAUAGAAAGGUAAAAAGUAAAAGUAGAAUAUAGAGCAUUGUGCAGGAGAAAAAGAACUUUUUAUGUAAGAUGUGACCUGUGGGGCAUCAUGCCAGGCUAUCCCUUCCAGAUUUGGAAGGAUUCAGUGUUUUGUAUGGCAUGACGGAGAGUUUUGAAAAAUGAGAUUUGCUCUUCAGUGCAGGUCGGAUGGGUGAGGCCUGGCAGCUUGUGCAUUGCCACUGUGCUAACCUGUGUGCCUCUCCUUCCCUCCCUGCUCCACAGGCACAACCCGGGAGCAGCAGGGAGAGGUGGGUUCGUCGUGGAGGAUCCAGGAGCUCGGUGUGCGUGUCUGAGCCUGCAGUUCCAAGGUGCAGCAGGACCCAAGGUCUGCACACACCCAUGUACAGCACUUGUAAACAGCGUUAACGUAAAGAUAACGCGUGCAGGGAGUGUGCCGUGGGUUACCACAAGCGAUGAAGGAUUUUGGGACGGUGCCAAGGCAGUUUCCCCCUCAACGCACUGGUUUUUUUCUGGAAGAAUUAUGCGAGAGCGGAAAAGUUGCAAUGGCAUUGCAGUUCCCUGCUCAGAAAAUGCCCAGGGAGGUGAAGCAUGGCCAAGCGGUGCCAUUGAACUGUACCACAGCUGGGAGCAUCAGGUUCAUUCCUGUUGUAAUCCUCAAAUGGCAAAACAGCGUUGCUCUUUAUUAAAAACAAUUUUGCUCUCAGAAUGUUGA